GACGUAGGGGGCGAGCGUUGUCCGGAUUUAUUGGGCGUAAAGCGCGCGUAGGCGGCUGCGCAAGUCGGUUGUGAAACCCCGGGGCUCAACCCCGGAACUGCAUCCGAUACUGCGUGGCUAGAGGUAGGUAGGGGAGAUCGGAAUUCCUGGUGUAGCGGUGAAAUGCGCAGAUAUCAGGAGGAACACCGGUGGCGAAGGCAGCACUCUGGGACGUGACUGACGCUGAGACGCGAAAGCGUGGGGAGCAAACAGG
rnacentral:rRNA from 1 species